rnacentral:lncRNA from 1 species
GCUGACAGGACUCAGCUCGCUUCUUCUUGGGAUUCCAAUGAAUUCCAGUCCCUAAGAAGAACUGCCGAAGGGCUUUCUGUCGUCCUUGAGGAGAGGACGGCUGAGUUGCAGUAAUUGAAGAUCCAGCUGGCAUACGAGCAGCAGGUCGUCAAGGACGCGGAGGCAGAAUCCGAGGUCCUGAGAAAGAGGCGUCAGAGGCGGAGAAUGAAAGCCAGCGAUAUCAUCGAAGAUACAUGGAGAUAUUAAUGAGAGAAAGAGAAUUGGAAGCAGAAGUCGGGUGUUUAAGGGAUUCCCUGGCGAGGGUCGA